rnacentral:lncRNA from 1 species
UAAUUUUGUUUUAAUUAAUGAAUAGGUCUGUAAGAUAGGACAUAAAUGCUUUUUAAACAACUUUUGAGAUUAGUUAGAGCAAUAAUAAUCAACAAAGUAAAUUAAAUGAGUAAAUUAUAAGGUGAAGUUCAAAUUCCUUUCACUUAAACGGGCAAACGUUGAUUUGCAAAAUCCUUUUGUAUAAGUGAAUACUGAGCAGAGGUUAGAAAAACGCCAUAUAAAAAAAUAAGGAAUGAUUGAAAAUAUAAGUAAAUAAAAAAUCAUAAAAUGAAUAAAUGUAUUGAGAAGAAAGAAAAAAAAGGAAGACA